UUGAAACCUGCUCUUUUUGCGUUUCCAGCAACUUUAACACGUUCACAACUGUACACUCUUUUAGGCAGUCUGCGUGGAUUUAACUCGAGUCAGGCAAGGUAGGAAACUACAGCGUCAAAUUUGGACACGUUGGUAAUGAAUGGGCACGUUAAUACUUUGUUGCUGCUGCGUUGUUUUUUAUUUCAGAAAAAGAAAAAGAUGCACCAAUAAAUAAAUAAAAGUCAAUGAAACAUCUAAUCAUCCUGAUAAAUAUGCAGUUACAUCGUUUCAAUACGGGCUGGGCAUAAACCUGGUUUGUUUUUAACGUGCCUAAAGUCGAUCUCCAUACUAUACAUGGUUUAUUGUCAGUGCAAACGUUGUGCCAAAGGCGCUGAACUGUAAACCACAAGGUUGUUAGUUUAAUUCACAACACUGAAGAACAUUAUGACCUUGAGUUCCUUCACCUGCCAGUGCUCCAGUUCAGUUACAGUAAAAGUGAAUUGCUUUCUGCACAGAUGCUACUGAUUUAAGCUCAUCAUUCACAUAAAAGCCUCAUUCUACAAAGUAUUUGCCAUCUGUACCAUACUCAUCUGUGCCUUAUAAUGCUACACAUCGUGGACCAUAGAUUGCAACAUCUGGCAAAGGGCUGUUUCCAAACCUUCACCCAGUACUCUACAAUGUCUUUACUGGGGUAACUGUGCUUAUAUCUCAGAGAUCAAAGGAAAUCUGUGUUAUCUUCUCUAACAAGAAAACUUCAAAACAUUUGGUCUAUAUCAGUGGUGAAUGCAGUUUGUUCUCUUCUAAACUACAGCAGCAGUCCGAAUAGACUGUUAUUGAAAUUUGAUCCAACAAGACGGUCAUUAUUUAGAGAAACUCUCUGAUACUCAGCACUAGAAUCAAACACCGCUCAAAUCUGUUCCUGAUUUUCUGAGGCUGAUACACCCCAAAGAAGGACCGUACGCAUAAAAUUCCGCCUGGCCCUGAUGACUUUACUUCCGGUUCCGGCCCUUCUGAUGACGCCACUUCUGAUCCCGAACCCAUGGACGAGGACAGUUCCAGUUCUAGCCCUUCUUACGAUGUCACUUCCAUGUCCAAGCCUAUGGAGGAAGAUCCUUCUGGAUCCAGCCCCUGUUGACAUCAUAUCCUGGUUUGGUCUAUAAAGCCAACUUCUUACAAACAGUAGUUCAGUUCUGUUUUGGACUCCGAAUUGUGCACAUCAGUGCUAUCAAUUUAUCCUUUUUGCAGCCAGGGAACAAUAAAUGGGUGGCUGCCCUAAACCUUUUAUGACUUUUAUGUCUCUGAUUGGUGUGACAAUAUACUGUAGAUGCUUGAAUAUACUGUAAU